rnacentral:rRNA from 1 species
AUGAAUGACCCGACCUACCAAACAAGGAACUUUUGGUGGACAGGUGUUAGAGAAGAUCCAUCUACAAAAGUUUUAUGUCUAAGAGCUUGGGCUGAUAUAUGUAUUGGAAAAAAGGAAGGUGGCUUAGGUGUCAGAAAUCUACAGGCUAUCAAUCAAAGUCUUAUUCUAUCAGUUGCUUGGAUAUUAGCAAAGGAACCUCACAGUUACCUCUUUCUUAUCCUCAAGGCCAAAUACCACAAUGACACAUCAAUUUGGAGAGCAAAACAUAAUGUUCCAAAAUCAGCCUUCUGGACUCUAUUCUUAAGUCUUAUAAUCCACCAACCACCUUACUCUUAUCCAGUUGUUGUUAGUGAUCUUUGGCUUCCUAAUCAGAAAAGUUGGAACAUCAAUCUUGUCAAUGCUCUGUUUCAUCCUCAUACUGCACAAGCAACACUGCAAACUCCUAUUGUUAACACUGUUGGAGAGGACGUGUUAGUUUGGAAGCUAACCCCUGCAGGUGACCACUUUUCGAAAAGUGCCUACAAGCACUGCUUCAAUAAUCUACCACUACCAGCAAACCAGCGGCCAAAAUCUGUUCCACCGCAGAUUGCAAAUCUUCCCAAUCAGGUUUGGAAAGACAAACGCAUGGAGCCAAGAGUUCAAACUUUCGCAUGGAGACUUCUUCACCGAGCACUUCCAACGGGUAAGCGUGCAAGUAUAUACCUGGUGGCAAAUGUGAUCCUACAAGGCCCAAAACUAGAAGAUGAGAUGGCAGGAACUGUUGUUGUACAACCACACAAGAACCGUCUUUACAGCAAGAAGGGGAUUGGGGAUGAGAGCCAGGAGAUGGAAGGAGAUUCACGCCCAACGACGGCCGGUUCAGGUCUUGCCUCCUCGGGUUGGGCCUUGUAUCCCGCUUGGGCCUCGUGGCCCGGCCUUGAGCCUCUUUGGUUGGGGUUGAUGGAGUAG